GACGAACGCUGGCGGCGUGCUUAACACAUGCAAGUCGAACGGAAAGGCGCUGCUUUUGUGGGGUGCUCGAUUGGCGAACGGGUGAGUAACACGUGAGUAACCUGCCCUUGACUUUGGGAUAACUUCUGGAAACUGGGGCUAAUACCGGAUAGGAGCUCCUGCUGCAUGGUGGGGGUUGGAAAGUGUCGGCGGUUGGGGAUGGACUCGCGGCUUAUCAGCUUGUUGGUGGGGUAGUGGCUUACCAAGGCUUUGACGGGUAGCCGGCCUGAGAGGGUGACCGGCCACAUUGGGACUGAGAUACGGCCCAGACUCCUACGGGAGGCAGCAGUGGGGAAUAUUGCACAAUGGGCGGAAGCCUGAUGCAGCAACGCCGCGUGCGGGAUGACGGCCUUCGGGUUGUAAACCGCUUUCGCCUGUGACGAAGAGUGAGUGACGGUAAUGGGUAAAGAAGCACCGGCUAACUACGUG
rnacentral:rRNA from 1 species